rnacentral:rRNA from 1 species
CCUACGGGAGGCAGCAGUGGGGAAUAUUGGACAAUGGGGGGAACCCUGAUCCAGCCAUGCCGCGUGUGUGAAGAAGGCCUUAUGGUUGUAAAGCACUUUAAGCGAGGAGGAGGCUACUGAGACUAAUACUCUUGGAUAGUGGACGUUACUCGCAGAAUAAGCACCGGCUAACUCUGUGCCAGCAGCCGCGGUAAUACAGAGGGUGCGAGCGUUAAUCGGAUUUACUGGGCGUAAAGCGUGCGUAGGCGGCUUUUUAAGUCGGAUGUGAAAUCCCCGAGCUUAACUUGGGAAUUGCAUUCGAUACUGGGAAGCUAGAGUAUGGGAGAGGAUGGUAGAAUUCCAGGUGUAGCGGUGAAAUGCGUAGAGAUCUGGAGGAAUACCGAUGGCGAAGGCAGCCAUCUGGCCUAAUACUGACGCUGAGGUACGAAAGCAUGGGGAGCAAACAGGAUUAGAUACCCUGGUAGUCCAUGCCGUAAACGAUGUCUACUAGCCGUUGGGGCCUUUGAGGCUUUAGUGGCGCAGCUAACGCGAUAAGUAGACCGCCUGGGGAGUACGGUCGCAAGACUAAAACUCAAUG